rnacentral:rRNA from 1 species
CCUCGCGAGAGCAAGCGGACCUCAUAAAGUGCGUCGUAGUCCGGAUUGGAGUCUGCAACUCGACUCCAUGAAGUCGGAAUCGCUAGUAAUCGUGGAUCAGAAUGCCACGGUGAAUACGUUCCCGGGCCUUGUACACACCGCCCGUCACACCAUGGGAGUGGGUUGCAAAAGAAGUAGGUAGCUUAACCUUCGGGAGGGCGCUUACCACUUUGUGAUUCAUGACUGGGGUGAAGUCGUAACAAGGUAACCGUAGGGGAACCUGCGGUUGGAUCACCUCCUUACCUUAAAGAA